rnacentral:rRNA from 1 species
GACGAACGCUGGCGGCGUGCUUAACACAUGCAAGUCGAACGGAAAGGCCCUGCUUUUGUGGGGUGCUCGAGUGGCGAACGGGUGAGUAACACGUGAGUAACCUGCCCUUGACUUUGGGAUAACUUCAGGAAACUGGGGCUAAUACCGGAUAGGAGCUCCUGCUGCAUGGUGGGGGUUGGAAAGUUUCGGCGGUUGGGGAUGGACUCGCGGCUUAUCAGCUUGUUGGUGGGGUAGUGGCUUACCAAGGCUUUGACGGGUAGCCGGCCUGAGAGGGUGACCGGCCAAAAUGGGGAUGGGGUACGGGCCAGGAUCCUACGGGGGGGCAGCGGGGGGAAUAUUGCACAAUGGGCGGAAGCCUGAUGCAGCAACGCCGCGUGCGGGAUGACGGCCUUCGGGUUGUAAACCGCUUUCGCCUGUGACGAAGCGUGAGUGACGGUAAUGGGUAAAGAAGCACCGGCUAACUACGUG